GACGAACGCUGGCGGCGUGCCUAAUACAUGCAAGUCGAGCGGAUGAAAGAGGAGCUUGCUCCUCUAGAUUCAGCGGCGGACGGGUGAGUAACACGUGGGCAACCUGCCCUGUAGAUUGGGAUAACUCCGGGAAACCGGGGCUAAUACCGAAUAAUCCUUCGGACCUCAUGGUCCGAUGUUGAAAGACGGUUUCGGCUGUCACUACAGGAUGGGCCCGCGGCGCAUUAGCUAGUUGGUGAGGUAACGGCUCACCAAGGCCACGAUGCGUAGCCGACCGGAGAGGGUGAUCGGCCACACUGGGACUGAGACACGGCCCAGACUCCUACGGGAGGCAGCAGUAGGGAAUCUUCCACAAUGGACGAAAGUCUGAUGGAGCAACGCCGCGUGAGUGAAGAAGGUUCUCGGAUCGUAAAACUCUGUUGUGAGGGAAGAACAAGUACCGGAGUAACUGCCGGUGCCUUGACGGUACCUCAUUAGAAAGCCACGGCUAACUACGUGCCAGCAGCCGCCGCAG
rnacentral:rRNA from 1 species